rnacentral:ribozyme from 1 species
CAAAAAAAAAAAAAGAUGCAACCCCCCAAAAGCACUCCCAUUUGUACGUUUCCCUACACAUUCCUUCUCGUUUCCGUUUUUCUUUCU